rnacentral:rRNA from 1 species
GAUGAACGCUGGCGGCGUGCUUAACACAUGCAAGUCGAGCGAGUGAGUUCUUCGGAACAAUCUAGCGGCGGACGGGUGAGUAACACGUGGGCAACCUGCCUCAUAGAGGGGAAUAGCCUCCCGAAAGGGAGAUUAAUACCGCAUAAAAUUAUCGAGUGGCAUCACAUGAUAAUCAAAGGAGUAAUCCGCUAUGAGAUGGGCCCGCGGCGCAUUAGCUAGUUGGUGAGGUAACGGCUCACCAAGGCGACGAUGCGUAGCCGACCUGAGAGGGUGAUCGGCCACAUUGGGACUGGGACACGGCCCAGACUCCUACGGGAGGCAGCAGUGGGGAAUAUUGCACAAUGGGGGAAACCCUGAUGCAGCAACGCCGCGUGAGUGAUGAAGGUCUUCGGAUUGUAAAGCUCUGUCUUUGGGGACGAUAAUGACGGUACCCAAGGAGGAAGCCACGGCUAACUACGUGCCAGCCGCUGCAGUAA